CCUACGGGUGGCUGCAGUGAGGAAUAUUGGUCAAUGGGCGCAAGCCUGAUGGAGCAACACCGCGUGAGUGAAGAAGGGUUUCGGCUCGUAAAGCUCUGUUGUUGGAGAAGAACGUGCGUGAGAGUAACUGUUCACGCAGUGACGGUAUCCAACCAGAAAGUCACGGCUAACUACGUGCCAGCAGCCGCGGUAAUACGUAGGUGGCAAGCGUUAUCCGGAUUUAUUGGGCGUAAAGCGAGCGCAGGCGGUUGCUUAGGUCUGAUGUGAAAGCCUUCGGCUUAACCGAAGAAGUGCAUCGGAAACCGGGCGACUUGAGUGCAGAAGAGGACAGUGGAACUCCAUGUGUAGCGGUGGAAUGCGUAGAUAUAUGGAAGAACACCAGUGGCGAAGGCGGAUGACUGGACGGCAACUGACGGUGAGGCGCGAAAGCGUGGGGAGCAAACAGGAUUAGAUACCCUUGUAGUC
rnacentral:rRNA from 1 species